rnacentral:tRNA from 1 species
GUUUUUAUAGUUUAAAAAAAAUAUUGGUCUUGUAAAUCAAAGAUUAACUUAUAUUAUAAAAACU